GACAUUCUUUUCUUGGGGUUGAGUUACUGUCCAAUGAGUGUCUAGUAAGGACAGUACUGCUAAAACCUACACAACACACCCACAUCAACUAGAGCUUUGCUUUAUCUUGGUGUAAUUUUUGGAAAA
rnacentral:ncRNA from 1 species